UAAGUAGUAGUUUAUCCUACUAAAACAUUAAGUUGCAAACUUGAAAAAGAGCUUAGCUCCUACUUUU
rnacentral:tRNA from 1 species